UCCCUCAGUGGAAACCCUCCCCCACGCGGAUGGUUGCGGCGCUGCGGGUGGAUCCUCGACCGGCGGUGGGGAUCCAGUGAGCAGCGGCAGCUGCCCAUGGAUGGGCUCAACGGGCCCAAAGAUGGGCUCCACGGGCUCAUCCAGUUUUUUUAAUUUUUUUUUUGAUUAACCGUGGCGGGCAAGAAACCGCUUUGGUUAAUAGUUGAUUUACUACGACCUUCCAUUGAAGGCGUUUCUUUUGCCUGUCUCCUAAAAUAAAAAAACACCCGUUUCUAUUAAAAUUAUUGUAGUAGUGUCACCUUCAUGGAUUGACCUUAACAUGAUCAUCACCACAUAUCAUGACAUGUUUGAGCUCAAAACCUAAGGUCUAACUAGUGGCAAACACCUGGGGUGUUACAUUCAACGAUUGAUCGAUCUAAUCCAGGCAUCUCAGUAUAAUCCCAAGCAAAACAAUCUUUAUAUGCUUCCUCGCCCAAGUCUAGCCGUAAGGGUAUAGGGGUUUAUACCCCCACAGCUUGGAGCCAGCUUAGAUGUCCAAAGAGUGCUUAGCGACUUCCCUUGGUAUACCAAGCAUGUCCGAAGGACUCCAUGCAAACACAUUGUCAUUUGCAUAGAGAAAGUCGAUGAGCACUGCUUCCUAUUUAGAGUCAAGGCUUG
rnacentral:lncRNA from 1 species